UACAGAGGGUGCGAGCGUUGUCCGGAAUCACUGGGCGUAAAGGGCGCGUAGGCGGUUUUGUAAGUCGGGGGUGAAAUGCUGCGGCUCAACCGCAGCGCUGCCUUCGAGACUGCAAGACUGGAGCACGGUAGAGGCGGAUGGAAUUCCCGGUGUAGCGGUGGAAUGCGUAGAGAUCGGGAAGAACACCAAUGGCGAAGGCAGUCCGCUGGCGCUGCUGACGCUGAGGUGCGAAAGCGUGGGGAGCAAACAGG
rnacentral:rRNA from 1 species